GACGAACGCUGGCGGCGUGCUUAACACAUGCAAGUCGAACGGAAAGGCCCUGCUUGCAGGGUACUCGAGUGGCGAACGGGUGAGUAACACGUGGGUGAUCUGCCCUGCACUUCGGGAUAAGCCUGGGAAACUGGGUCUAAUACCGGAUAGGAGCCAUUUUUAGUGUGAUGGUUGGAAAGUUUUUUCGGUGUAGGAUGAGCUCGCGGCCUAUCAGCUUGUUGGUGGGGUAAUGGCCUACCAAGGCGGCGACGGGUAGCCGGCCUGAGAGGGUGGACGGCCGCAUUGGGACUGAGAUACGGCCCAGACUCCUACGGGAGGCAGCAGUGGGGAAUAUUGCACAAUGGGCGCAAGCCUGAUGCAGCGACGCCGCGUGGGGGAUGACGGCCUUCGGGUUGUAAACUCCUUUCGCUAGGGACGAAGCUUUUUGUGACGGUACCUAGAUAAGAAGCACCGGCUAACUACGUG
rnacentral:rRNA from 1 species